rnacentral:lncRNA from 1 species
ACCCAUCAUCACUAAGGACCCUCUGGUCCAGAAGACAGGUUAGGGACCAAAAGCAAGUAUCCCCGCUAUGUACUAGGCACAGUUCUAAAUAUUUUGCUUAUUUUAACUGAUUUAAUCUUUACAAUUAAACAAAUAGGCACUAAGGUUAUUUUUUAGAUGAGAAAUCCAAUGAGAGAGAUGAAGAAGAUUGGCCAAGGUUAUGCUAAGAAGCCUAGAGCUGGGAUCCCAUCCAGGCAGUGUAAUGCCAGAAAUCGCUCCUAACCCUGAAGCUAUCUAUAUGCACAAGACCCUCUCUGAGUUGGGUAUUUUUGUCCAGUUUUUCCAGGGGAGGACACUGAAAUUGAAAGAGUUAAGAAAAUGUGGUAGUCACUGGAUUGUUUACAGAUAUUCCAGAUCAUCUUUCCUUCUGUGCAUAAGGAAGUAGCACUUCUCCACAUCCUCGAAGGUUAGGGAUGCCCAUGGGACGGGCUUUGGUCGAUGAAAUGGAAGUGCCAGAGAAGCACUGAGAGCCUGCAUGGAGUUCACCAUGGUCCUGUCUGCUGUGUUGGUGAAACCCUCAUCACAAGGUCGUUAUACAGCAAUAGAAAAAGAAUAAACUAUCUAAUAAACAGUACUAGAACAAUUGGUUAACAGAAGAAAAAGGUAUAAUAAACUGUAGCUGGAUUAGAGAGUUAAAUUUUUCUUAAAAGCCAAAUAGAUGAGCAUUUGCAUGCUCUGAAGAUGAGAGAAAACCUUCCAAGAAUUAAAGCAACUUUUAAAAAUCCACAAGAUAAAGAUAGUGAAGACUUUACACAUCAAGACAUGCCAAACAAAAUAUGAAAAAUAGCAAUUUGGGGAAACAUCUGCAAAACUUAAUAUGACAGAGUAGAAAUGGUCAUACUACAUGAGACAAAGAGUUAAGGCAGAGACUUAAAUAGAAAAAUGGUAAAAUAUAUCAAAUGAUAAUUCACAAGAGAAGAUAUAAAAAUGGUUAAAAUGCUUAAAAGUUUCAGUAGCGAUAAUAAUCACGACGGUUUCUAAGAUGAAAGUUCUCUGACAUUAAGGGUAAUCUCCUCUGACUGAAAAGUUAAGCCUUCAUGAGAUGGUCUGUUGGCUUAUCAUAGCCACAUAAAAUUGAAAUUAAUGGAAAAAAUGGCUGUCUAGGAGUUCCUGUUGUGGCCCAGCUCGUUAAGGACCUUGCUGUCUCUGUGAGGAUGCUGGUUUGAUUCCUGGCCUCACUUAGUAGGUUAAGGAUCAGGCAUUGCUGCAAACUGUGGCACAGGUUGCAGAUGUGGCUGGGAUCUGACAUUGCUGUGGCUGUGGCAUACAUAGAGCAAAGCUGCAGCUCUAAUUCUGCCCCUAGCCAGGGAACUUCCAUAUGCCACAGGAGCAGCCAUUAAAUUAAUUAAUUAAUUUAAAAAAUAAAAAAUAAGUUUAAAAGGCUGUCUUUUAGGAAAUCCUAUUGAGAGUAUAGUUUUUUAAUGUUAAUUUAUGCCAGAAACAAAAGUAAAUGUAAGUGAUGAUGAACAUUAGUUUUUUAGGAUCCAGAAUUUUAAAAUUUAAUGGACCUCCAUGGACCACUGGAUCAGCAGUUAUGAUCUUUUAAAUCACAUAUUUGAAGCAGGUGAAAUUGACUUUAGUUUAGCUUAUUGUAAUUAAAAUUAGCAUGAAUUACCAUGAUGGACUCAGAGUUGGUUAAUCUCUGGCCUUGGGUAGGGGUUCUUCAAUAUAGACGCAAGCCUAAAGCAGAAGCAAUGGAGUGCAAUUGUUUUGAGUUCAUUUUAGGGCCAUAGAUAUACAAUUGAGAGUUCUGAUCCAAAGACUGAUGAGUUAAAAGCCUGUUUCUGCUGUUGCAUGGGUUCAGUCCCUGGCCUGGGAACUUUCACAUGCCACGACUCUCCCAAAAAUAAAGUCUGUUUUCAACUGCAAAUUCCAUUUCUACGAAGCAGAAACUGCCAGAACACAGUGGUGGCAGGGUUUUCCUUCUCCCUUGGUGGGAUGAGGGCUUGGCAAGAGAUGAAGAGUAGAAAGAAUGAGGAAAUAUUAGGAAUAGGGCAAUAAAAUAAGCUUUUUCAAGGAAGUAUUACACUAAAAUCAUUUUCUCCUAUGCUCAAUUCAUAUAGAGAUUAAAUAGGUUAAGUAUUUCCUGCAAUUGGGAAUAAAAUGGUUAUUACUAUCCUCUGUUUACAAAAGCAGUUCCCUUAAGCCAAGAUUAGUGUGAUAUAUUGAUAUUAAAGUGAAAACCACCUUUGCAUUGAUGAAAUUUUAAGUUUUAUAUAAAAAUAAAAAUAACAGAAGAAUAGCUAGUAUAUGAGUAUAUUGGUAUGCAGGUAUAUAUAUGUAAAGAGAGCUAGGAAAUCUAAGAUUAGAUUAGAAAAAUAGAUUGGAUUCCCUAGCUCUAUUUACUGAAAGUGCCAAGAAGCAAAGACCAGAGCAGAAAGUCUAGCGCCCAGGUAUUAGUUCCCACUGAAAGGAGGCUUCUAGGAGACAUGGCUGAUUCCAGGGCUGGAUCCUAAGGAUACAGGCUACCUGUAGCAUCACACACUUGUGCUCCUCUAUUGUUCAAAUCCUACAAAGCCACAGUUUCUUCCCCCAUGGUGAUGGGACCACCAUGAGGUUUAUAACAGUCCUCAGGACCUUAAAGAACUUCCACCAAUCUCAAAUUGUCACUUACUUGUCUUCUGUGUUCCUGCAAACAUUUCUUGAAAGGUCAUAUAAAACUUGGAUCUUUGAAUUGUGGUAAACUUCCCUUAUUUGCAACUGAUCCCACAUUUCUACUCCCAUACAUUGUCUGACAUUAAGGGCUAAAAAUUGUGCCAGAACAUGGAAGUCAGAAAGAUCAGCCACAGCAAAUUAAACACAUGACAUUGAAGAAGGCAUUCAGUAGAGUAUGGAUUUUUUUUUUUUUUUUAAAUGGAAAGAAAAGAGGGAGUUCCUAUCGUGGUUCAGUGGCUAACGAACCCAAGUAGUAUCCAGGUUCGAUCCCUGGUCUCAUUCAGUAGUUUAAGGAUCUGGCAUUGCCCUGAGCUGUGGUGUAGGUGACAGACACAGCUCAGAUCCAGUGUUGCUGUGGUGUAGGCCAGCAGCUACAGCUCUGAUUCGACCCCUAGCCUGGGAACUUCCAUAUGCCGUGAGUGCGGCCCU